rnacentral:rRNA from 1 species
AACGAACGCUGGCGGCAGGCUUAACACAUGCAAGUCGAACGAUAUCUUCGGAUCUAGUGGCAGACGGGUGAGGAACACGUGGGAACAUCCCUUUCAGUUCGGAAUAACGUUGGGAAACUAACGCUAAUACCGGAUACGUCCUUCGGGAGAAAGAUUUAUCGCUGAAAGAUUGGCCCGCGUCUGAUUAGCUAGUUGGUGAGGUAAUGGCUCACCAAGGCUACGAUCAGUAGCCGAUCUGAGAGGAUGAUCAGCCACAUUGGGACUGAGACACGGCCCAAACUCCUACGGGAGGCAGCAGUGGGGAAUAUUGGACAAUGGGCGCAAGCCUGAUCCAGCCAUGCCGCGUGAGUGAUGAAGGCCUUCGGGUUGUAAAGCUCUUUUAUCCGGGAAGAUAAUGACUGUACCGGAAGAAUAAGCCCCGGCAAACUUCGUGCCAGCCGCCGCGGUAA